AGAGGAGGGUUGUCAUCAAAAAGAAGUUACCCGUACCUAUUCAGCCACCUAGUGCAGAUCUUCGAUUUGAAGCCAACACGUCUAUGUCAUCGGUUCUGCUGCUGCCGUUGGAACACGACCAGUCAGUUUCCACACCAAACGAGCAAAAAUCAACAGUUGGCCUACAUCAAACACCGGAUAAGCGGAAAACUGCAUCACCAUCCACAUCUCUAUCUCCCAGAAAAGUGCUAUUGCGCCGGAAGGUUAAAGCUCUAAAGCAAAAAUUAAAAAGAAGGGACUGUAAAUUAAGGUCAAUGAAAGAAUUGAUUUCAAAUUUGAAAAACAAAUUUAAAGCACCAGAUUCGUUAAUCGAAAUUGUAGAAAACAACUUUACAGGGUUGCCUUUCGAGUUAUUGUUGAGUAGCCUGAAAAACAAAGGAAAAAGUAAAAACAAACAUACUUUCACAGAAAGUGUUAAGGAGUUUGCCUUAACACUAUAUUUUUAUUCACCAAAAGCUUAUAGAUACUUGCGGGCUUCAAAUUUAAUUUUACCACAUCCUGCCACAUUAAGAAAAUGGAUUUCAAAAUUUAAUUGUUGUCCAGGGUUUUUGGAGGAGGUAUUCAUGUAUUUAAGACAUAAUGUUAAGGAACAGGAGCACCUAAGAAAUGUAAGUUUGGUAUUCGAUUCCAUGAGCAUUAGAAAGCAGAUAGUUUAUGACGAGCAACUAGGGAAAAAUGUAGGAUAUGUAGAUGUUGGAGGAUUCAAAAUAGACAACAACGAGGAGCUUGCUACAGAAGCUUUAGUAUUUCAAAUUGUUUCUUUGAGAGGCCACUUUAAAUGUAUCGUAGGGUAUUUUUAUGUAAAUAAAACUUCAUCAGUUUUUCUGUCGCAGCUAAUUAAAGUGGCUAUAGUUAAACUAAGUGAAGUGGGCGUUAAUGUACAGAGCGUGACCUUUGACGGAACCAGCACGAAUCUUAGCGCAUUGAAACAUUUAGGU
rnacentral:lncRNA from 1 species